rnacentral:rRNA from 1 species
CCUACGGGUGGCAGCAGUGAGGAAUAUUGGUCAAUGGUCGUGAGCCUGAACCAGCCAAGUAGCGUGAAGGAUGACUGCCCUACGGGUUGUAAACUUCUUUUAUAAGGGAAUAAAGUGAGGCACGUGUGCUUUUUUGUAUGUACUUUAUGAAUAAGGAUCGGCUAACUCCGUGCCAGCAGCCGCGGUAAUACGGAGGAUCCGAGCGUUAUCCGGAUUUAUUGGGUUUAAAGGGAGCGUAGAUGGGUUGUUAAGUCAGUCGUGAAAGUUUGCGGCUCAACCGUGACACUGCAGUUGAUACUGGCUGUCUUGAGUGCAGUUGAGGUAGGCGGAAUUCGUGGUGUAGCGGUGAAAUGCUUAGAUAUCACGUAGAACUCCGAUUGCGAAGGCAGCUUACUAAACUGCCACUGACGCUGAUGCUCGAAAGCGUGGGUAUCGAACAGGAUUAGAUACCCGAGUAGUC